rnacentral:rRNA from 1 species
UGGGGAAUUUUGGACAAUGGGCGAAAGCCUGAUCCAGCCAUUCCGCGUGCAGGACGAAGGCCUUCGGGUUGUAAACUGCUUUUGUACGGAACGAAAAGCCCUUCUCUAAUACAGAGGGGUCAUGACGGUACCGUAAGAAUAAGCACCGGCUAACUACGUGCCAGCAGCCGCGGUAAUACGUAGGGUGCGAGCGUUAAUCGGAAUUACUGGGCGUAAAGCGUGCGCAGGCGGUUUUGUAAGUCAGAUGUGAAGUCCCCGGGCUCAACCUGGGAACUGCAUUUGAGACUGCAAGGCUAGAGUGUGGCAGAGGGGGGUGGAAUUCCGCGUGUAGCAGUGAAAUGCGUAGAUAUGCGGAGGAACACCGAUGGCGAAGGCAAUCCCCUGGGCCAGCACUGACACUGAGUCACGAAAGCGUGGGGAGCAAACA